rnacentral:rRNA from 1 species
GCAUCACAUGGAUGCCUCGACUCUGUAUUCCGAUGAAGGACGUGGCCAGCUGCGAAAAGCCUCGGUCAGCCGCUAGGCAGGCGCUAUGAACCGUGGAUAUCCGAAUGAGGAAACUCAAUCUCCGUUAUGGGAGAUUAUCCCGCUUAUGCGGGAAGGUCACUCAGCGAACUGAAACAUCUCAUGUAGCUGAGGAAUAUAAAUCAAUAGAGAUUCCCAAAGUAGUGGCGAGCGAAAUGGGAACAGGCCAAACCUCACUAAUUUAUUGGUGGGGGGUUGUAGGGCCCCAGUAGCGACUUUUUAAUAUAGACGAAUGAUCCUGGAACGGACGGCCAAAGUGGGUGAGAGCCCCGUAGUCGAAAUAUAAAAGAGCGUGGGGGAUUCCCUGAGUAGGGUCGGACACGUGAAAUCCGGCCUGAACCUGGGUGGACCACCAUCCAAGCCUAAAUAGAUACAGAGAUCUAUAGCGAAUAGUACCGCGAGGGAAAGGUGAAAAGCACCCCGAAAGGGGGAUGAAAUAGUACCUGAAAUGUGUUGCAUUCAAGGAGUCGGAGCCCCGUAGUAUAGUGAAGUUUAAUGCCACCUCACUCGAGUGUGGAUUUGAAUAGACUUUCCUAUACUACAGGGUGACGGCGUGCCUUUUGCAUAAUGAGCCAACGAGUUUGUUGUCUGUGGCAGGUUAAGGCAGUUAAUAGCCGAAGCCAGAGCGAAAGCGAGUCCGAAUAGGGCGAACUAAUUGUCGCAGGCACAAGACCCGAAACCGGGUGAGCUACCCAUGGGCAGGGUGAAGGGCGUGGGAACACGUC